rnacentral:rRNA from 1 species
GCUUACACAUGCAAGUCGAGCGGUAACAUUUCUAGCUUGCUAGAAGAUGACGAGCGGCGGACGGGUGAGUAACGCGUAGGAAUCUGCCUAGUAGUGGGGGACAACAUGUGGAAACGCAUGCUAAUACCGCAUACGCCCUACGGGGGAAAGGAGGGGAUCUUCGGACCUUUCGCUAUUAGAUGAGCCUGCGUGAGAUUAGCUAGUUGGUGGGGUAAAGGCCUACCAAGGCGACGAUCUCUAGCUGGUCUGAGAGGAUGAUCAGCCACACUGGGACUGAGACACGGCCCAGACUCCUACGGGAGGCAGCAGUGGGGAAUAUUGGACAAUGGGCGCAAGCCUGAUCCAGCCAUGCCGCGUGUGUGAAGAAGGCCUUAGGGUUGUAAAGCACUUUCAGGAGUGAGGAAGGGUGUACGGUUAAUACCCGUAUAUUUUGACGUUAACUCCAGAAGAAGCACCGGCUAACUCUGUGCCAGCAGCCGCGGUAAUACAGAGGGUGCGAGCGUUAAUCGGAAUUACUGGGCGUAAAGCGCGCG